rnacentral:rRNA from 1 species
UGGGGGAAUAUUGCACAAUGGGGGAAAACCCUGAUGCAGCCAUGCCGCGUGUGUGAAGAAGGCCUUCGGGUUGUAAAGCACUUUCAGCGAGGAAGGAAAGGUUGUUUGGCUAAUACCCAGCAAACUGUGACGUUCUCCCAGAAAAAGCACCCGCUAACUCCGUUGC